rnacentral:pre_miRNA from 1 species
CUAGAUUUGGUCAUUAUUAUUACCCUAACAGAAACAUUGACUUUGGUUCCCAAUGCAGUAAGUGCUUUUUGUUGGGGUAGUUUUGCUGA